UUUACAUAAAAAAUGUAAUAGAAAGUCACGUAAGUGUAAAUAUAGUGAUUGGAUUUCACUUUUCUCUCAACCAUGCUUUUAUGGAGCAAUUCCUCUAAGAAUAUAUUCUACAUGGGUCGCUACCGCAUUAUCAGGUUUUCACAGAAUAAAAAUGGCAAUUUUUAGACAAGAACAAUGCAAAAAGAUGAGAAUGUUUGAACGGAUUCAGAUAAAAAAAAAAUACUUUAUACGAUAGUUAUUUUCCAUGGACUUUAUUUCCAAUCUAGAGCAAGUACAUGAAAAAAUACGUGACAAGUUUCUGUCGUAGAACGGGAGCACGCGAUUUAGGUUGUUCGCAUUUUUGCAUUCAAUAGGCUCUUGGAGAUGUCAUUUUUUAAUUAUUAUUUUAUUUUCCAUCCCCAUUAAAUUGUUUUGUAUAUGGUAAGGUGUGGGAGUAUGAACAUACAAUUAUAUGUAUAAAACCGUGUUGGGGUAUAGGUUAUGGGAACGUCCACUACAUUACAGUAUAUACCACGAACCGCUGGAAUUCUUACAUUGGAAAUGUAUUUUAGAAUUUGAUGAUGACGCGAUAUCUUCAUCACAUAAUAAGUAUUUGUAUGUAUAACGAUGGCCGGAGUCUUUACAUUCUGUGUAUUUGUACAUUCUGUGUAUUUGUAAGGCCAAACUCUUUACAUUCUGUGUAUUUAACAUAUAAAACACAUACCUUUAUUUCAAGAAGGUAGCACAUUUAACAUAUGCCCCUCAUUCAAACUCCUCACAUUAAAACUUACAGUAUAAUCAUGGUUCUCAUCGUCAUACUAAUCAGAAGACAAUGAUAAAUACACAUCAGGUAAUGGCAAAAGGUCAGACAUACACAGUCGAAACACUGUUUGAUUCGUGUCAAUAUAACUUUGUCGAGAUAAAAGUUAUCUCUCCACAUAGCAGUGGGGUACAUCUGAAUAUAGCCUGGUUAACGAACGUCGAGAUAAAAGGAAGCUCUCCACAUAGCAGUGGGGUACAUCUGAAUAUAGCCUGGUUAACGAACGUCGAGAUUAAAGGUAGCACUCCACAUAGCAGUGGGGUACAUCUGAAUAUAGCCUGGUUAACGAAUGUCGAGAUAAAAGGAAGCUCUCCACAUAGCAGUGGGGUACAUCUGAAUAGCCUGGUUAACGAACGUCGAGAUUAAAGGUAGCACUCCACAUAGCAGUGGGGUACAUCUGAAUAUAGCCUGAUUAACGAAUGUCGAGAUAAAAGGAAGCUCUCCACAUAGCAGUGGGGUACAUCUGAAUAGCCUGGUUAACGAACGUCGAGAUUAAAGGUAGCACUCCACAUUGGUAAGAAUAUAUAUAUAUAUGACUAACCAGAUUUGUUUUAGAAAAUAUGUAUAAUAAAGAAUCUCGGAGUAUACUUUACGUUUAAUAAUGAUAGGAUGUGUGUGUUUUAUAUCAAAUUCUGACCAGCGGAUUUUGUUUAUACAUUUAUAUACUGCAAUUCAUUAUUUUGAUGUACAUGACUUUACUAAUAUCAUAUCAAAAUAUCCUGCCAAGGAAUCAUUAGUGAAUUGUAUGUAGAGAGUGUUAAUGAAGAUCAACAAUAAUGUAUGGAAAUUGAUAUCAUAUAACUGAUUGUUAAAUGUUCGGUCGGGAUACCCUUGGUACUUCUGUCAUUCUUUUACUACAGUACAUGUACAUUUACUCAUAACAAUAUCUUAUUCAAAAAGUGUUACGAUAAUAAUUCGACUAUAUGAGUUUCCACGAUUGCAUUGUCAUUUGUUUAUGUUUUGUAAUUAUGUAUGAACAUUAAACUAAAAUAAUGUUUUAGUAAUUGCAUAGAAACUUUGACUAAUAAGAUAUUUGAGUAUUGUUAUUUUUGGAAGUUUUUACUGCAAAACUUACUAACAAUUCAAAUAAAUAGUUUGGUGUGUAUGUAA